UUUUAUGGAGAGUUUGAUCCUGGCUCAGAGUGAACGCUGGCGGCGUGCCUAAUACAUGCAAGUCGAACGAUGAAGCUUCUAGCUUGCUAGAAUGCUGAUUAGUGGCGCACGGGUGAGUAACGCAUAGGUCAUGUGCCUUUUAGUUUGGGAUAGCCAUUGGAAACGAUGAUUAAUACCAGAUACUCCCUACGGGGGAAAGAUUUAUCGCUAAGAGAUCAGCCUAUGUCCUAUCAGCUUGUUGGUAAGGUAAUGGCUUACCAAGGCUAUGACGGGUAUCCGGCCUGAGAGGGUGAACGGACACACUGGAACUGAGACACGGUCCAGACUCCUACGGGAGGCAGCAGUAGGGAAUAUUGCUCAAUGGGGGAAACCCUGAAGCAGCAACGCCGCGUGGAGGAUGAAGGUUUUAGGAUUGUAAACUCCUUUUGUUAGAGAAGAUAAUGACGGUAUCUAACGAAUAAGCACCGGCUAACUCCGUGCCAGCAGCCGCGGUAAUACGGAGGGUGCAAGCGUUACUCGGAAUCACUGGGCGUAAAGAGCGCGUAGGCGGGAUAGUCAGUCAGGUGUGAAAUCCUAUGGCUUAACCAUAGAACUGCAUUUGAAACUACUAUUCUAGAGUGUGGGAGAGGUAGGUGGAAUUCUUGGUGUAGGGGUAAAAUCCGUAGAGAUCAAGAGGAAUACUCAUUGCGAAGGCGACCUGCUGGAACAUUACUGACGCUGAUUGCGCGAAAGCGUGGGGAGCAAACAGGAUUAGAUACCCUGGUAGUCCACGCCCUAAACGAUGGAUGCUAGUUGUUGGAGGGCUUAGUCUCUCCAGUAAUGCAGCUAACGCAUUAAGCAUCCCGCCUGGGGAGUACGGUCGCAAGAUUAAAACUCAAAGGAAUAGACGGGGACCCGCACAAGCGGUGGAGCAUGUGGUUUAAUUCGAAGAUACACGAAGAACCUUACCUAGGCUUGACAUUGAGAGAAUCCGCUAGAAAUAGUGGAGUGUCUGGCUUGCCAGACCUUGAAAACAGGUGCUGCACGGCUGUCGUCAGCUCGUGUCGUGAGAUGUUGGGUUAAGUCCCGCAACGAGCGCAACCCCCUUUCUUAGUUGCUAACAGGUUAUGCUGAGAACUCUAAGGAUACUGCCUCCGUAAGGAGGAGGAAGGUGGGGACGACGUCAAGUCAUCAUGGCCCUUACGCCUAGGGCUACACACGUGCUACAAUGGGGUGCACAAAGAGAAGCAAUACUGCGAAGUGGAGCCAAUCUUCAAAACACCUCUCAGUUCGGAUUGUAGGCUGCAACUCGCCUGCAUGAAGCUGGAAUCGCUAGUAAUCGCAAAUCAGCCAUGUUGCGGUGAAUACGUUCCCGGGUCUUGUACUCACCGCCCGUCACACCAUGGGAGUUGUGUUUGCCUUAAGUCAGGAUGCUAAAUUGGCUACUGCCCACGGCACACACAGCGACUGGGGUGAAGUCGUAACAAGGUAACCGUAGGUGAACCUGCGGUUGGAUCACCUCCUUUCUAGA
rnacentral:rRNA from 1 species